rfam:Picea glauca, whole genome shotgun sequence.
ACAUGCCUACAACAUAGUGGUAAUGCACUGGAUCCCAUUAGAACUUCGUAGUUAAGUGUGCUUAGGAUAGAGUAGUAGUGGGAUGGGUGACCACCCGAGAAGUCAUAGUAUUUUACAUGCC